rnacentral:rRNA from 1 species
GACGGAGGGGGCAAGCGUUGUUCGGAAUUAUUGGGCGUAAAGGGCUCGUAGGCGGAUCUAAAAGUCUGACGUGAAAUCUCCACCGCUCACCGGGGAGGGGCCGUUGGAUACUGUAGAUCUGGAGUUCGGUAGAGGGUCGUGGAAUUUCGGGUGUAGCGGUGGAAUGCGUAGAUAUCUGGAGGAACACCGGUGGCGAAGGCGGCAUCCUGGACCGACACUGACACUGAGGAGCGAAAGCCAGGGGAGCAAACGGG